rnacentral:rRNA from 1 species
UACGGGGGGGGCAAGCGUUGUUCGGAUUUACUGGGCGUAAAGGGCGCGUAGGCGGCGUGACAAGUCACUUGUGAAAUCUCCGGGCUUAACUCGGAACGGUCAACUGAUACUGCUCGGCUAGAGUGCGGAAGGGGCAACUGGAAUUCUUGGUGUAGCGGUGAAAUGCGUAGAUAUCAAGAGGAACACCUGCGGCGAAGGCGGGUUGCUGGGCCGACACUGACGCUGAUGCGCGAAAGCUAGGGGAGCGAACGGG